rnacentral:lncRNA from 1 species
GACCUAUAAAAACAACCCAGAGAUCUCAUCAGUCACACGCAAAUCAAAUGAGGAUUAUCUAUAACAAACCUUAAAUGCGCAUACACUUUGAAAGGAAGUUUAGGAAUCGAAGUGAGAGUGACUUUGAAGGAGAAGAAACCAACAAGACUCUUUGUUUUUCGUCGGAGAAGAAGAGGCGGAGGCUUAAAGGGUUUGUUUUUUUCUUUCUGAUUUUUCUUUUUAUGUAUUAUAUUAAUUAUUG